GGGUGCGAUCAUACCAGCACUAAUGCACCGGAUCCCAUCAGAACUCCGAAGUUAAACGUGCAUGGGCGAGAGUAGUACUAAGAUUGAUGACCUCUUGGGAAGUCCUCGUGUUGCACCCC
rfam:Ricinus communis cultivar Hale ctg_1100012362470, whole genome shotgun sequence.